GUGUAGCGGGUGGAUGUGAACCUUCGGAAAGCGCUCUUGAUUGCUGGCAUCCCCCAGACCUGUCAUUUGGCGGAAAUCGAGGAGGCUCUGCAGGCUGGUUGAGCUCCCUUGGGCGAGUACAGACUGCUCGAGAGGACAUUCCGGAGGUCCGAGACCAGGAAUGUAGGGCUGACUGAGGAGACCAGUCAUGCUCUGGUCCCUAAGGAGGUACCUGGAAAAGGGGUUGUCUGGAGAGUGAUUUUUAAGCCCCCAGACCCGGAUAGUGAGUUUUUAAGCAAAUUAAAUGAAUUCUUAGAGAGGGCGAGUUCCCCAGAGCUCUUGGGUAUGGAAAUACCCUUUUGACCUAGACCAGGAUAUGAUCCCAAAAAUUCAGGCCCCUUAUGUUGGCACAGGCAUUAAAUUAGGCUCUUCAGCCUGCCCUGCAAUACCUGAAAUAAAAAUGCUGAGAGUAUUUUCGGGCAGUGAUCCUCCAGAACCAGAAGAAGAAGAAUUUUAAUCCUGGCUGUUUCAUACCACUCAAAUGAUGAAGACAUGGAAGGUAUCAGAUGCAGAGAAAAGAAGGCGAUUGCUAGAGAGCCUUAGAGGCCCAGCGUUAUUCGUGUCCUCAAGAUGAACAAUCUUCUAAUUACAGUCCUUGAAUGCCUGCGGGCUCUGGAGCAGGUGUUUGGUUUUAUUGAUAAUCUUAGGGAAUUGCAGGUCAAAUAUCUGACCACUUACCAGAAGGAUGAAGAAAAAUUGUCUGCUUAUGUACUAAGGUUGGAGCCUUUAUUACAGGAACUGGUAGAGACGAGCAAUGAAAAGUUGUGAAUCGGGCCCACCUAGACUGCUGGAGCAGCCUGCAGAACACUUCGCAGGAAGCUUGCUCUGCCAGAGGAUGGCCCAGCCCCUGCCUUGCGGAGUUACCAGCACUGAUGAAGGAUGAAGAGGCGGCUAGGAGAAGGCCCUUCUCCAGGCAGGAUUAGAGAGACAUUUCAGCUGAAUCUUAAGAAACCAGGAAGGGAUAUCUGGUGAUGUGCAGAGCCUCAAAGUAGAAGAGUCCAUAUACUCCAGUUGACGGCAUUAGACAAUCCCCACUUUGUGCUGCCAAGUAACUCAUUUUGUACAGUUGUCAGCAUAAAUUCGUUGUCAUUUCUGUGCCUACUUAAUGUCUCAAAUGUGUCGUUGACAAGGAAGGAUGUAGUUCUGCACUGGCACUUACAUACUUAAAUUUGCCCCUGUGAAUUCAUCACACAAUAUUGUAUAAAAAGCCCAUCACUACAUACAUAUGGUCCUCUGCAGAGGACAGGCAAGGCUCAGUCAGGUACAUAGGCUGACCAGAUCGCAUCAAGAUGUCAGCCAGUGUGGUAACAGGUAUGUGAUGUGAUAAUGUACCACAGAUAAGUUUUUACCCUGUGUUUAUUAUGAAGAUCAUGAGCUGUGGUUAAGAUACUAAGUUAUUUUCUGAGUGAAUCAGAAUUUUAUUGAUUCUGUGCAGUCAAGAGUAAGUGCUGAGGUUGAUAGGUUUGCAGCCGCCAUCUCUGAAGUCAGGUUUCUGAUGUGUGUCAUCAAAACAUCAGUUCUAAGUAUCAUUUCAAUAGGUGUUGUAAAAAUAUAGACAUGAAAUUCUAAAAUAAAGGAAUGCUAAUAAAAUUACCUCCUUUAUCUGUUUUGUUAUAUCAAAGUUCCCAGAGAGAUUUUAUUUGAACAAAGGGUUUCAAAAGCAUGAAUCUGAAGUCCCCUGAGUUGACACAAUCACUUAGAUAUUUUUCCUCUUGGUGCCCAAGGGGUGGGGUACAAAGUAGUUUUCUAAGAUAGUUGGAGGGACCUUCUACUGAAGUACAAUGGGAUGAGAAAACAGUACACGAAUGCACAUAGUAGUUCUAAGUGCAUCAGUGCAUUGAAGUUGGAGGGUGAAAGGAAAGAAAGGAACGUUGCGUGCCUCUGCAUGGCAGACUGUACUAGAAAGUUUUCCAUGUACUUUCUCAUAUAAUCCUCAUUACAGUCCUGCAGUAUAGGAAACCCCAGUUUCACAUUUGUGGAAAUGGGCCCAGAAAAGGUAAGAAAAACUUGGUCAAAAGUAAACAACUAGUAAGUGGCAGGGUCACAUCCAUCUGCCUUUGCAAGGGCCAUAUUCUUUCCACUGUCAGAAAAGAAGCAUCAUAGGGUAUCUAUCCAUCAAACUCAAGAAAAGCAGGGCAGAUGUUAACUGUAUUUCAUAAGUGUAAUAAGGUAUACAUUAGUCUGGUAUGCAUUAUUCUGAAUCAUUGCAAACUAGACACUAUUAGAAAUGGAGACUAAGAACUUUUAAGACCUAGAGACAGCCAGGAGGGUGAGCCUGGGUUAGUGAUUUGGUCCCUAAAAAAAGGUGAAAGUCAUAGCAUAAAGAAAGUUUGAAAAUUGCUGAAAAAUAGGAUUAAAUAUUUAAUAAAGAGCUUUUGGGGGUGUACACCACUGGUUUAGAUUCAGAGCCAUAGUGAAAUGUUUCUUUUAAGACUAAAUGCCACAGUUUCAUUUUUCAUAAAUUCUCCCCUUAUGGAACGCAAAAUACCAAACUGAUGUCAUACACCAUAAAUACAAUUUUCACUUGUCAAUUAUAUGUCAACUGAGUGAUUAAAAGAGCUAAAUCAUAGAUGACAAAUGGACUCUGGGUAAAUUUGAAGGUGUAAUUCUGACCUUGUUUAUGUGUGUGUAGUCAUUUAUUUGCCACCUUAGAUGCACGAAGAGGUAACUGCAUUUUGCUGGUGAACGUACAUUGUGUGUGCAUAUCUAGGUGUUAUUAAACACUGCACCUCUUAUAUAUGUGAGGCACUGAGCCAGGGGGUUUAGACUAUAUGGUUAAAUUUAGGUUAUAAUCCCCUCCAUGGAGGUCUAUCCAGAGUCAAUAGCUGACACUGAAUGCUUGCCAUGGGCCAGGCACAGCACCAUUGAACACAUUUGAUUCUCCAGCAAUACUAAGAGGGAAGGCCUUUUGUUUUCCCAUUGUACAGAUGAAAUUGAGGCACAGAGAAGGAACUUGCCCAGGUUUUCUCACUAAUAAGUGGCAGGGAAGGGAUGUACACUCAGCCUGUCUCUAAUUCAGAGACCUUGCUGUUAAUCUAGUCCGUGCUGCCUUGUUAAAUCCUCACAGAAGCCUGUGAGAAACCAUCACUUCCUCCGUUUUGCGGAUGAGGCUUCAGUGCUGGGGGAAGGGCACAUAGUCUGAUUGCAGAGAGCUGAAGGUGCGCUGACAUAGGCAUCUAGAGUGACAAAUGUACCCUGGUAAUGUAAGAUGUCAGCAAGAGGAAGCUAGGGAAGCUGGGAUUGGAUUUCACUUCUGCUUGAAGAUGGAAGGAGUUAAUUGAAGGGACUGGACUGCAGGACACCCCUGAAGGAGGACACUGGUGACACAAACCUGGACACUUCUCCAGCUUGCCACUGGGGCAGGGGUCCUAUCCCUACUAGGUGGCCUGAUGCUCACAUUGCCGCUCUCCGCCGCUAGCCCCAUUCUCGUCCUCCGAUUCCAUCCUCAGGCACAACGGCAACAGUAACAGCAGCCUCUGUGCCAGGCAUCGUGCUGGAGGCCUUGCCUAUGUGAUCUAUUUUUAGUCCUUUUUUCAUCCAUUUUACAGAUGGGGAUCCCAAGUCUUAUAAAAGUGACCGAACCUACCCAAGUUCACACGACAGGGAUCAAGGCCAGAACUUGGACCCCGGCAGACAGCUGCACUGUCCUGCUCUGAGCCUUUUACCCCUCACUUCACCUCUGGCUGUUGGCCUGAGGCUGCCCACGCUCUGGACACGCUCUGCUAGUUCUGGACACGUUCAGGAAAUAGGGUCUCAGGCUCACAAAAGAUAACACUGCCAAGCUUUUAAAAAAGUACUAUCAUGUGCUAUUUAACCCAUACAAAAGAGAAUAUGUAACAUACAUAUGUAAGUUAUAAAACAUAAUAAUAAAACAACCCCCAUACCCCUAAACCUACCUUCCAAUUUAAAUAUACACUAACAAGUGUUUUUUAAUGGGCUUAAUCUUUAUAUUUUUACAGAUGUAUUUUCAACAUGUAAAUUUUUCUGUUUCAUUUUUCUAAUUUAAUCUCCUUUCUCAAUGUAAUCUCCUAACUGGAAACCUGAAAUAUCUCCUGUAGGUUAACCAAUUGUCUCCCUCUGUCAUACUUUCUCUGAGUCCCUGCCUACUGUGUGGUUUUUUUCAAAUCACAGUUCUAUUAGCAAAUCCUGGGGAUUUUACCUUCAAAAUACAUCACAAAUCGAACCGCCUCCCACCUCCUCUUCUAAUCCAAGGUUCUGUCAUGGCGGGACCACUGUAGUAGCCUCCUAGUUACUCUCCAUCAGGCAACCACAGUAAGCUUUAAAAAAAGAAAGGGUUGGGGGUGGGGCAUCAGAUUCUCUCUCUCUCCUGCUUGGUCCUGACCCCAAGCACAUGCCUGUCCUGCCAGCUCAAUCCUAAAUCUAGAAUUGCAGUUCCCUCCAAGCUAGCUAUGGCAAAACCACAAGCAAGUCCUGAGGAGAUG